CAGAUCUGCGGCUCAUAUGAUCACACACGUGUACCAGUCACAAGGCCACUGGCACCCGUGAAGUACCACACGCAGACACUCAGAUUCACAGACCUAUCUCCACACAGCCUGACUUGCACCCGCCGCUCAACCACCCCCGUCACACAGCAACCCGCAUACCCACCCCAUCACACACACAUCACCCCAGUCACACUCCAGCACAGCCACGGUCUCCACCGCGCCUCUCACCUCACAGCUCAGUCACGAAUCACACUCCAGGCCGUGGACUCCUUCCAGUUAGGUGCUGCUUCAGCACACGCCGUCUGGCACCCAAAGAAUUACACACACGCAGAAACACAACUCAUUCUCAGCCGAAGGCGCAGUCGGUCCCGCAACCCUCACAGCGGCAAACACACACACACACGUACACACGCUCACGAGGCCGGGUACAUAGGGACACACGCCUGUGAACCACGCGCCGGGACUACCUCGAGGGAAGAAUCUGACAGAAUCCGCCUCACAUGCGCUCGGCCUCAGGGCGGCACUACGGACGCACUCGGCUGUCAAGACUCUGGACUCCAUUGUCUGGAGGUGCGUCGAGGAUCGCAUAGCCGGGACUGCUCCCGGCUGAGCUCUGUCAGCUCACCGCGCGAGUACGCGGGUACCAGAGUCCGGGACCAGAGCCGCCCCGUCCGAGCGUGCCUGCGCCUGCGCCUGCGCACUCAGAGCCCAAGCCCACCAGGACCGGCCGUGGACUACAUUUCCCAGAAGCCCCAGGGGGAGGGUGUAAACUUCCACCCCGAGGGCUCCCCGCCGGGCUUUUUGGGUUGCCCAGCCACCGCAGUCCUGCCAGUCUUCACAAGAAGGAUCCUGAAGAGAAAGGAAAAAAUUUUCCCCAUCUUAAAGUGCAGAUCAGUCCUGGCUUCUCUGGAUUCUGUGCUUUUCGAGUGGAGGAAGCCCAAAGAGGACUACCACGUUCUUGCAGUUCUACAACCAUGGCCCAUGUAA
rnacentral:lncRNA from 1 species